UAACAACUAAUAAUACCUUUUUCUCAAAGGUUUUGACUCCUGGGAUGGUAUUCUUAAUUCCUAGAGCAAUGAUUCACUUCCAACUAAAUGUUGGAAAAGGGCCGGCCACAUUUAUACCUAUUUUCAAUACUCAAAAUCCUGGCGUUUCGGACUCACUCACUACUCUCUUUGAUACAACACCCCCAAUUCCCAAUAAAGUGUUGACCAAAUCUUUCCGAGUCAGUAAUGAUGUGAUUAAUGUGAUCAGAGCAGCCCGGGCAUCAAAUUAAUUAGUAAUCGAUCUAGCGAGGUAGCAUCCUCGAUGCUUGAUCGGUACCCUUUCUAUUGUCUCAAAGUAAUUAAUAAGAUUUAUUUUAUGCAAUUGUUAUUGAAUAAAAGCUGAGACAACCAAAUAAUUGAUUAAUAAAGUUUUUAAAUUUUUAAAUUUCUUUACUUUUUCAUGUAUUGUGUGAAUAAAGUUUGAAAAUUGCGUAUACAUUUAAAUAUAGAUAAGAUCAAAAUACACCUCUGAGUUGUUUGAUUCUCAUAAAAUGCAGAAAUGUAAAAAAUUGAUAAUUAAGAGAAAUUAAGUUUAUAAAUAAUGAAACUUUAUUUUUAAAAAAAUCUGAAUGAAUAACAUAGUGUUUUUGGACAUUUUUAUAGUAACUCUAAAUAUCACGAAUUUAUCAAAAUAAACAAAUUAGAAAAAAAAAAAGAUAGGAAUCUUGAAUGUAGUUGAAAAAACUAGAAAAUAAUUAAAAAUCACAAAACGAACAAAAAAGAAACUGAAUUUUUUGCUUACCACGGAGUAAAAUGGUGUAAGCAUUCUGGAUUUGGUACGUCUCGUCGUAAGUUUCAGAAUGCUAUAUUAUACAUCCAAGACUAGCGCACUUAACUCAAGAUGCUAUAUUAUACAUCCAAGACUAGCGCACGUAACUCAAUUUAUUUAUAACUAGUGGAAAGUACCCUGCUGGUUCCACACAACUAUUUUAAGUUAUGAACACCAAAAGAUACUGGUCCUGCGAACCAUGCUACAUCAAGUACCAUUUCUAAUUGGAAUGCUACGCAUAUUGGAGAAAGUGUUCAAAAGUUUGAGUUUUGCAACAAUACGGGAAGCAUUACAGAUACGCUCAAGAAUGUUUUUACAAUCUCAAAAGUCUCCUGGUUGAUAUGAUGUCCAUUUCUUUUGUUGAUGUGGAUGCUAACCGAGAGACUGUCAGAGUUUUUUCAAAUACAAUUGUCCAUUGCUUAGAAGAUUUAAGUGCGAGGAGAUCUGACUUAAACAUCAAUCCGAUUGACGUACCUAGAGAUUGAUAGUUGCAAUUCAAUUGAAGAAAUUGAAAUUUCUGCCCAAAAAUCUUUUGUCACAUAACUAUCGUGGAUUGGAAAUCAAGUUCAGGAUUGACAAUGCUCCCUUGCUUUUUGAUGUAUCACCUGGUAGGACAGUUGAUGGUCAGUUGAGAAAUCUUAUUAAUCCUUUCAGAAACUUUCUCCCACAGCUCGAGAAUCUGUAAUUAAACUUAACGGAGCCGGUUUGUAAUUUAAUAUUUUAAGCCAAUUGUCACAUUCAUAAGUACCAAGUGAAUUGCAACAAUUUAUGGAAAUGGGUGGGAAGCGUUAUAAUUUGCUCAAGAAUGUUUAACAAUCUUUAAAGUCCCCUGGUUUAUCUAACAACAUCAAGUCUUUGAAGUCUAUUUCUUUUGUCGAUGUGGAUGAUAACAGAUAGGUAGCUAGGUAACUUUAAAACUAAUAACAGAAAGAAAAAUUGAAUCUGAAGUGGAAAAUAGUCCUUCUCAGCUUGUCUGCUCCACAGAUAAUAAGCAGCAUAAAUCCACUGUGGAUGCACCAAAAACUUGUUGUGUUGCUCCGCCAACCGACGACCUUUUAUUCCUGGCCUUGAUGAGACGGAGACCACUUGUGCCACCGACAAGUUGUACACAUCCGUACAUGCAGCACCCAACUCGCCAGCCCUCCAUUUGAGUAAUGGAAAUUCAAAUUCCUUAUCAUCAACAUCCCUGCUAAAGAACAAUGUGCAACUUGCAAGAAUCUGCCUCCGAAUUUUCCCCAAGAAACACCUAACAUCUCCGCAAACCGGAUUCUCAAAAAACAACCCAUGAACUGUUUUCAGAACUCGAAGAACAUUCACAAGUGCCCCAUUCAACUCGUUCUCAUCAGUGUUCCUCUCAGAAAAGGAUUUCUGACGAAUAUUAUUCUUCUUAUUUCUUCUCUCUUUAAAAUAAUUAUAGCUCCCCACCAACAUGAGAUGCUCUUUAUGAUCCUUCCAAACCUUCUCCGUGUCAUCAACGAUGACGACACCCCAUUCUUGUCCCAGCACCAAAUCACCUCUCUUCUUUCCCUUUUCUUUAAAAUCUUCGCGUGUUAUCAAUCUUGACCUGAUGUGGUACUCACACUUAAGAUCAAGCAAUUUAGCCAUCAUCACUGCGUAGGAUCGAAUCCCCGUGGUACAUAAAUAAAUGUCAUACAUCUUGCUCGCUUCUUUGAGAAAUUUUCGGAUGUAAGGCCUUACCUUGACCAAAAACAACUCACCAUAAGGCCGUAACUUGACCAAAAACAACUCACCAGCCAUCUUAAACAGGUCACCGUCUGAUGAAGAACUCCCUAGUUUCAUCAAAUAUUCACGAUCUUUGGAAGCUAAAAUGUCGAUGUCUACUGCAUGCAGCAAGGUAUGAUCUAAGUCCAGCACUAAGUGGAGUUUCUUCUGCCGAUACACCAUCUCCGAGUUCAUUUUUUUCCAAAGAGUAACUUUGUCUCUGCUAAUUAAGCUUUAAACCCUCGACUAAGAAGUUAAAUGAUAAGCCAUAUCCCUUUGCUAUUGUUCGUGCACAAGAUAAGCACACUCCAUGGUAAACUACGGGAUGUGAACGAGGACUGAAUAUGCAUACUGAGAUUAAUUUGGUAAGUGCAAUAGAAUUUAUGAAUAAAGUUUAUUAUGUAGCGCGCGUAAGUGCAAUAGAAUUUAUGAAUAAAGUUUAUUAUGUAGCGCGCGCGCGCGCACAUACAUACAUAUAUAUAUACAUAUAUAUAUAUAUAUAUAUAUAUAUAUAUAUAUAUAUAUAUAUAUAUAUAUAUAGAUAAAACUACUUUUCCUUUAAAGGUUAGGAUUCCCUAUUCCAUCUCAUAUCCACUUUUCCUUUAAAUGUUAGGAUUCCUAUUUCAUUAGCUAUUGUUUUGCAAAUAACUACUCGUUUAUUAUGUAUGGGUAGGCCUGGAAUACAGCGUUGUAUGUGAUACAACGCUAAUGUUCACGUAGCACCCUUACUUUUAACUGAAUUUCAAAAUAAUCAAUUCAAAUUAGAAAACUAUUAAAGAUCCCCUUUAACUUUGCAAUGAAAAAUAUGCUUAAAUUAUGUAAUUUCUAAGCUAAUGAGAAUAAUAUUUAUAUUAAAAUAAAUAAAAAAUUUAUUAUAUUAUAUUAAUAUGACAUUAUAAGUUUUUUUAUUAAAAAAUAUUUAAAACAUUUUUUGUUAAUUGUAUAAUAUUACAAUGCAGUUCAAAUGUAGCUAAAUCAUAUUACCCCUAAAUAUUUGAAAGGGAAAAAACCCAUAAUGCCCAUUAAGGAAAUCCCUACUUGCCAAUAUCGAAAGUAAAAUAAUUUUCCAUCCAACCGUUGGAUAGUUCUCAAAUAAAUAUAUUAUUGAUAAUACCAAGCUACAUAAUUCCCAAUAAAAUAUUAUUAGUACUACCAACUAAUAUUAAAAGUACAAUUAGAUCACAUUAUAAGGACACCGUGAAACAUCUAAAUAUUAGAAUAAUAGUCACGAAUAAUCUUAUGUAAAUUAUUUCAUGCAACUUUAUGUGAAAUUAAGUAAAUUAUUCUAUAUAGCAAUACCAUAUUUAUUCCUUUGUGCUAUAUUAUUUAUACGUUUAAAUUUAUCACUAUUUUCAAGCCACAAUAAUUUCUAUAAAUAGUUGUAAUGGACAUUUAUAUAUGUAAUGUUAAUAUUUGAUCUUAAUUUAUUAGUGUUAUCAUGAUUAAUGAAAUUAUAACACAACUUUAUUAUUGACGUUAUUAACAGCUAUCAUUGUUAGGGCCAGUUUGGUAAUGCUGCAGCUUUUAAAAUAAUUACUGUUAGCUGUGCUGUAGAAAUAAUCAGCUGUGAAGAGAAUCAGUUAAGUGUUUGGUAAAUUUUAUUUUUAAAAGUACUGUGAAUUUUGAAAGCAGUUAUGGGUGUUUGGUAAAUCUUAUUGUUAAACUGCUGUAAGAAAAUAAAUGACUAAAAUGUACAUAAUGUAGGAUGAAAUUUACUUAUACAUAUAAAAAUAUACACGUACAAUAUUAUAAUAAAAAUUGCAUAGGCAUAGAAUUGUUUAUAUAUAAACAAACCCAAAUAAGACAAACAACAAAUAUUAUAAUAAAAAAUACAUUGAAUAUGCAUGAAAAGGGUGAUGAAUCACUUACUGUUAUUGAAUAUGGUUAUGGAACACAUACUGGAUCUUGCUUUGUUGCACUAGAGAAGUUUUGAUAGAACACAAAAUAUGAAGAAAUAGGGUAAACGAAAGGUGUGUGUUAAUUAUAAUAAAAAAUUAUUAAAAUAUUGAUUUUAUUUCCAAUUUAAAUAAGGAUAAUUUCGGGUUUAAGUAAUAAUUGUAAGGAUAUUUAUGGAAUUAUAUUAAAGGAUAAAAUUGAUUCUCAAAAUCAAAAUCUAAAAGUUACUCCUUCCCUGCUUUUCAAAAUCAGCUGUAGGAGGAGCUGAUUCUGGCAAAAGUAAUUUUGAUUUUUUUUUACCAAACACCAAAAUUAGCUUUUAGAUUUUUAAAAUCACUUUUAACCCUCUCAAAAGCAAUCCCAAACGGGGCCUUAGCCAUUACUAUCAUUAUUAUUAUUAGAGUUGGGAGUUGCUAGAGUCAAAUUCUAUUACGUAACUAGCAAUAUAAUAUUGAUAAUUAUAAAUUCACAAUAACUGAAUUUGAGUAAUAUCCAUAUUAAAGAAAAAAGAACAUUGAAUAAUUUUUUUUUUUCAUAUUUUACAAUCAUAUAAUCUAGACAUGAUAAUUAUAUUUUUAGAUUUAUACCAAAUUAAUUUGUGUAAUAACGCGCAACGGAGGUAGUUACAUGAAAUAUAUAUACUAAUUGAUGUGCAAUUCAUUCAUAGGCAUUAUAAAGUUCAUUCACUAUUAAUACAUAAUAAAUCAAUUGUCAUUGAAAUGUAACUGUUUAAGAAUUAGUAUUAUGAACAGAAAUUUAUUGUUAAUAAUGAAAUAAAAUAAAAUAAAAUGACUCUUUUUUCUUGGGAUAAGGAGUCAUUUUUUAUUUAGGCGGCGAAACUACCGCCAUAAUGAAAUAUUUUUCAAACCUAUUUUUUUAACUAAAAAUAUAAAUACUUCGUAUUUUUCUACUUCAAAAACCCUAGCCACUCUAUCGAUUCAUCCCUCACACUGACACAUACAAUACGAUCACCAACCACGAGAGCAGCCACCCCCGGAUGUCGUUGUUACCAAUACCCAAUACCCAGUUCAGGUAAUCAUUCAAAUAAAAUUUCAUUUUGUUGUUCACUAUCAACUAAUUCAGAUGAAAUCCUACACCUACCAGAAGGCCUUCAAUUUGUACCCAUUAAUAUGAAGAAAAGUUUUGAUAUCAUUGCCAUAUUUAUGAUCAUUCUGGUGACUUGUACAUCUCAAGUAUCAUUUGCUUAAAUAAUACCAAUGUUUAGUUGAAAAUGCUAGUCUAUGAUGACUCUUCAGGAGAAUCUAAUGAUCUUAACAAAGCGGGGUUUAUAAUUCUUGUCGAAUGUUAUCCAGUAUAAAUAAAUGAUGUAUAACUAUUUGUUUGGUGUACAAUUAUUUGUGAUGAAUAAUGAUGUACACAAAUACAAUAUACGACUGCUUCUUUACAUUUCUUCACAGAUUCAUUACUGAACAACCAAAUUAACAGCCGCUGUCACUACAUUAACACACUCGCUUAAGUUUUUUCAGAGAAGGUAUUUUCCGAUGCUGACUCCAUAUUUCUACUGUCUGUGAUAUUGAAUGACUUUUCAUGGGGUCUGUUAAUUUUUAAUUUAAUUUUCCAUCCGUUGGAUGCGAAUAUUAAUUUAUGAAUGAUGAUCUAGUCUUGCGGCAACUUCCGCACGAAAUUCUUGUUGAAAUUAUCAGUCGGUCAAGUCUAACGGAAUCUGCAGGCUCUUGGUAAACGUUUACGAAUUCAUCAUUAGCUUGACCUAGUUCUCCUGUAAAGCGUAUUUAAUUAAUUUCAAACCUUUUUCUAGUAGCUACAUAUAAAAGGCUACAGUUUAUAUCCCAGAAUCAGAUAGCCAAAAACAGCAAGAAAUAACUUCUACGACGUCGCAUUCAUUCAAAAAAAAAAAAAUUAUGCCGCGUCUAUAAGUUUUUUUUUUUUUUUUUAAUCGCCAUGUCAAAUUAAAGGCAGCUUGAAUCUUUAUUAACACAAAGAAUUUACAAAGUCAGAAAAGCCAUCUAACGAUCUCGUCCUGAUUCUGAUCCUACAAUUUGCCAUUAUUUUACUAAAUUCAAAGUAAUGUUAAUCACGCUUUCAGACUCCAAGAGUAGUAUAAAUAGAUCUAUCAUCUUCCUUUCAAUCCACCAACGCAAAAGGACCCACAGCUAUUAAUUGAUCCUACUCACAGUUAGCCAUGUAUUCUUCAUCAGCGUCACUCUUUGGGCUGCUAUGCGGCCUGAUAGUGUUAUUGAUUCUCCCUUUCCGUUCCCAUGCAAGUGACCCUGAUCCUUUACAAGACAUCUGUAUUGCGGAUUUGAAUGCUCCCAUCUCUAUCAAUGGUUUCCCCUGCAAACCUGCUUCAGAAGUAACUUCGGAUGAUUUCUUCACAGAUUUUUCCAAAAAUCCGACCACAUUUGAUGUCUUUAAGCGUGCAGUUACACUUGGUGAUGUUUCUGGAUUUCCAGCAGUCAAUACUCAAGGAGUUUCACUCUUCCGAAUUGACCUGGAUGUAGGUGGAAUAAACCCACCUCAUACUCAUCCUCGUGGAACUGAGGCUGGCAUUGUUACUCUUGGAAAGGUGCUUGUUGGGUUAGUAACAACUAAUAAUACCUUUUUCUCAAAGGUUUUGACUCCCGGGAUGGUGUUCUUAAUUCCCAGAGCACUGAUUCACUUCCAGCUAAAUGUUGGAAAGGGGCCGGCCACCUUUAUACCUAUUUUCAAUACUCAAAAUCCUGGCGUUUCGGACUCACUCACUACUCUUUUUGAUACAACACCCCCAAUUCCCAAUGAAGUGCUGACCAAAUCUCUUCGAGUAAGUGAUGAUGUGAUAAAUGCCAUCAGAAAAGCCCGGACAUCAAACUAGUAAUCGGUCCAGCUAGGUUAACAUCCUGGAUGCUUGAUCAAUAUGCUUUAGUGUGCCAACAUAUAUAUACUAAUAAAUGCGAUUUAUUUUAUGUUACAAUUAUUGAAUAAAGAAUAAAGUCCAGACGACCAAUAAUUAUUGAAGUAAGGAAAGCGAGAUUUUUUUUUUCUCAUUUCUUCUUCUUUUACUUUUGAUUUUUCCAUGGCAUUAUCUAUGCAAUUUGUUGCUUCCAUCGGCCUCGUUCAUUGGUAUUUCCUUGUAGGCUUCAAUAAUCUUUUAUAAUCCGAAUUUCAUUCCUGUAAUUCCAGCCCUCAAUAUCCAUUAAUGGUACCCGUGCAAUAAUUAUUGAAUAAAAAAUGCCUAAUACUUAUUAAUUUUUUUGUCUUGUUAAUUUUUUUUCAUGGGUCAUUCUAUUUGAUAUAUACCGCGAUAAAAUAAUUCGAUAAAUAUGUCAAAAAUAAAAUUACUGGUUAAAUAGAAAACAUACUGAAAUCAAACCCGUUCAUUGCUUUAUUAUUUUUUUGUUCUCCCUAUUCAACCGAACCAAUUGAAAUUGAUAGUGACGAUUACGUGGAAUAUUUGGGGGGCACGAAAUAAGCUAUUAUUCAGAAGGCAAUUUAGUUCACCACAAGCCAUCUAUGCACGGGCUCAAAGAAUUUUCGAAUCUUUUGGGAGUUGUGGUGUGGCUAUUCUUGAUUCUAAUUUGAGUAGUGUCGUGUUGGGGAUGAUAGUGUUGUGCGGGAGUUGACACUAGUAGGUUGGCUGAAAUUAAGUGUAGACGCAGCAGUUGAUCUAACUCGGGGUGCAGUGGGUUACGGUGCCGUUGUGCCAAAUCAUGAAGGUUUGGUGAUGGCUACGGGAACUUUUCAUGUGGUUUUUUCUGAUGAGGUUGAUAUCACUGAGGCAGAAUCCUUGCGCUUUGGUUUACAGUUCGCUAGUGCAGCUGGUUUAUUUUGUUAACAGUUGCAGUCAAAUUUGCUUCAAGUCAUAGAACUAUUUUAGAUAUUUUCUGAGGUGCUUUGAAUUAUUUCUGAGCUGAAGCAAUUGCAAUUACCAAAGCAUUCUUUUUGGGUACGCCAUAUCCCAAGGGUUUGCAAAUGCAUUAGCUAAAUAUUCUAUGUAGUUUUUUAUUCUUAUAUUUGGUGGGAAGAUUUUCCACCACAUUUAAAUUGCUAACUUUGAGUGUAUUAUGAUUCUGAUUCUAAUAAAGUUUUUAUCUCACCAACCCCCCAAAAAAAAUUGACAUAAUAAAAAUAAUGAAUAACUUAUUUAGGCCUCCGUUUGAUAUAACUUUUCAAGUAAAACUUAUUUAAAUAGAGCUUUUAUUAAAAAAAAUUUAGUUGUUUAAUUGUCAAUAAAAACUUUUAUUAAAAAUUUAUGAAAUUACUUUAAUAGACAAGUUUUUUAAAGUUAUGUCAUGAAAAAAAUAAAAUAAGAUUGUCAAAUAAGUAGAGGAUAUUUUAGAUAUUUUCUCUUAAAGCCUAAAAUUUGAGCUUUUGUUAAUAGAGGUAAAAUAGAUUAUUUAAACUUCAAAAGUUCUAUUAGAAAAACAACCAAACAACAACAAAAAUUAUUAUAAGAGCUUAUGAGAUUAAAUAAGCACUUAUGUAACCAAAGUUGGUUGGUGUGAGUGGUUCGGCACUCUCAUUCCUUAAGAGAGGUCAAGGGUUCAAGCUCCGCUCUCGAAUGGAGUCACCACUUUGGCCAGCACUUUACUCCUUACGGGCCGACCCGGUGCGAGCAGGGAUUAGUUUGGGUUGUGGUACGCGCUUAAAGGUGCCUCCCGCAAUUGGGGCCCAUUCAGGAUCACCUUGUCGUUCAGACCAAAAAAAAAAAAAAAGCACUUAUGACAAUUGAAUAAGUCAUACCAAAUAAUCACAUAGUACUUAUUUAUUAUUGAUUGCAAUUUUUUUUAAAAGGAAAUUUAAGUUUCUAAAAUUAGAUUUUAAUUUUUAUAUUCUAUUUUUGCAUCUAUAACGUACUUUUUGUUCAUGUAUGUAUGUGAUACAAAUACUCUGAAUUUAUUACGAUACAUUCCUCAUUCUUGAAAACGUAGUAGUACCCUAAAGCUUACAAAGGAAAGAAAUUGGUAUCAACCUUUUAGGAACCUUAAAAUUUUUAUAAACUGAUUAUCCUUUACCUCUAAUUUGAGUUGAAAAACAAAUUAAAUCGUUUUUCUAUAUUGAUUUUGGUUUUGCAGUUGCACUUUAUUUUAUCCGUAGAACAUGGAUGAAGGAAUCAUAUCAUGAACUCCAAAUUUACACAACAAUUGAUGCUCUUGUAACCCAUUCCCAAUUUAUUUGAUGCUCUUUUAACUCAAUUUAUUUGAUAAAAAAAUUAAUAUUUUUAUUUAAAUUAUUUUUAAAAAAUUACGAUUAGUAAACAUUAUUAACUUUUGUAUUAUAGCUAGUUCUUUUUGACUUUCCAACAAUACCAAACAAAGCCUUCCACAGGCAUACAUUGUAGCUAAAACAUCACAAAAUCUUAUUCCAUAAUUUUUGCUAAAAUAGUGUUUAGGUAAAUUUUUUUAAAAAUAACUCAUUUCAUAAUUUUCUCUAUUUUGACAACAACAUAAUAGAAUUUUUUAAAAAUAGUUAUAAAAUAAUUUCCUAUAUAAAUUAAAAAUUAUUUUUUAAAACUUUAUGUAAUAAUCUUAUUAUUUCAAUAAAAAGGUAGUCAUCUCCUAUUUUUUUCCUUCAGCCUUUUUUUUCAUUUUAUGUAAAUUUGGGUGUUCCAAAAAUGAAACAAAAAUGUGUUUAGACAACAUAAGCUUAUGUAUAUAUUUUGGUAGUUACACAAUGAAACUCACAGUGCUCCUAGUAAUAAAGUUUACUAACACCUAAUUACUUUUUUGUGUAGUUGAUUAUUUUAUAAGCACGCGAAAUCGAUUCCGUCUUCUUCUCGUCCAACUUAGUUAAUCUAACAAAUUACUAAAGAGGAUGCAACUUUGACACUGAAUUUCAAUACCAAACAUAUAUUCUCUCUUCAACAGAAUCAUUAAGGCAUUUCAAACGCUUGGCAAGCAAGGCUAGCUUGUGCUACCAAAGAUACAUUUUGGAAUAGCUUCAAGAUAUUAAUAUUCUGUUACAUGAAUUAAAUUUGGUGUUAUGUUGAUGAUUGAGAAUAGAAGGAACUCGCGCCGAUUUGUAAUGUAUUCACGAAAUGUUGCUUGCACGUCUCAAUAAAUCCAUUUUUAAAAAAAAAUAUAUAUAUAUGAAUUGAUUUAUAGUUGGUGCAACAGGUUAUGCAGUCAAUGAAUACAUAUGUUAUUCACGUUCGCAAGCAUUAGAUUAACUUUGUUAAUGACUCUGGAAUGUAUUAAGAAAUCUAAAAUUGUUUGAUGAUAUACGUUUAUCUAAAAGGAAUUAAGGAAAGGGUCAAGUUUGGCGGUUGAAUAGCUCGGGAUCAACGGCCAUGUCAAAGUUAAUUAAUAAACCCAAGCAUAUUCUGCUGAUCACAAUUAAUGGAAGGGAUCGAUUGGCUAUCACACUACUCCGCAGUUGACAUUGAAGUUUGUCAUUGAAGUAUGUCUUCUUCAAACAUUCCCGCGGAAGGUUGCGUGUCAAUAUUUGACCACUAUGAAAUUACCGCGUAUUCAUUGACUACUUCACAUCUCAUUAUUGAAUGUUGUAGGAUGGUUGCAUAGGAUGAGUAGAGUAUUUUCCGGAGGUCAUAAUUUAGUUACAUGUGUCCAUUUUGGGGGGUCAUAAUUUAGAUAUUCGAUUUCUUUUAUGAUUGUUUUGCUGUUUGAAGUUAUUUUCUUAUUUUUCCCGUUACUUCCAAAUUUUUAUUUUUAUUUUUAUUUUUUUUAGAUGUCGGAUUUAGGCGUUGUUUGUUUUGUUGUCCUUAUUUAAAUUAUAAGAAUUUUAUUAUAAAAUAAUAUUUUAGAUUUACCUAUUUUAGUAAAUUCGCGAUAUUUAGAGUUAUUAUCAAAGGGCCCCAAAACCCCUAAUUUUGUCCAUUCACACUUUUGCAAUAAAAUAUUCAUUAUUUAGAAACCUAGUUUCUUUUUCAAUCCAACUUGUAUGCAUCAUCAACUUAAGUUUUAAAUUGCUUUUGAUUCAUUAGGAAGGAAAUCAACUUUCUAUGAUUAAUCUAUUAAAUGAAUUUUGUGUUUAACAUAUACACUCUUAAACAAUAAGGUGAACACUUUUCCAUUCCUGAUUAUAUUGACAAAAAUAUAUCAUUCUAAUUCCAAAAUUAUAUAUAUAUAUAGCGCCAUUAAAAUUAAGUUACUUAACUCUAUAUUUAUAUAUGGAAAUUUUUCAAUGAAGGUUCCAGCACUUUAAUGAAGUACAAGAAAAUUAUUAUGCCAUAUAGUAUGAUAGCGUAAUCCUCACUAAAAAAGAAUUAUUUAUAUACAUAUAUAUAUAUAGAAUUUUUCCAUUGAUUAAAGUGUAAAAACUCUCAUCAGAUAAAACACUAUAAGCUAUCCCUUUGUCACUAAGCCAAAACAACAAGACAUUAUUCUGGUUCAUUAUCAUUCACGGUUGCAAUGCCCAGGUGAUAUCAUGUACCAAUUUAAAAAUAUUCGACACGCUUUAUAUCCAAAAGUCAAAAAGUCAAUAAGCCUUAUCGAUGGCCAAUUCUUUGGCAUUAAUAUUUUAGUAAAGUCAAAAAGUCAAUAAGCCUCAUCUGCUUAAUCUUUGGUUAAUCACGCUUUGAGAUUCCAAGGAGUAGUAUAAAUAGAUCCAUCACCUUCCAUCCAAUCCACCAACACAAAAAGACCUGCAGACAUUAAUUGUGUAAUUUAGAUCUUAACAGCAGCCAGCCAUGUAUUCUUCUUCAUCAGUGUCACUCUUCGGGCUGCUAUGCGGCUUGGUAGUGUUACUGAUUCUCCCUUUCUCUUCCCGUGCAAGUGACCCUGAUCCAUUACAAGACGUCUGUAUUGCGGAUUUGAAUGCCCCCAUCUCUAUCAAUGGUUUCCCCUGCAAACCUGAUUCAGAAGUAACUUCUGAUGAUUUCUUCACGGAUUUUUCUAAAAAUCCGACCACUUUUGAUGUCUUUAAGCGUGCAGUUACGCUUGGUGAUGUUUCUGGCCUUCCAGCGGUCAAUACUCAAGGAGUUUCACUCUUCCGAAUUGACCUGGAUGUCGGUGGAAUAAACCCGCCUCAUACACAUCCUCGUGGAACUGAGGCUGGCAUUGUUACUCGAGGAAAGGUGCUCGUAGGUUUAGUAACAACUAAUAAUACCUUUUUCUCAAAGGUUUUGACUCCCGGGAUGGUGUUCUUAAUUCCCAGAGCGCUGAUUCACUUCCAGCUGAAUGUUGGAAAGGGGCCGGCCACCUUUAUACCUAUUUUCAAUACUCAAAAUCCUGGCGUUUCGGACUCACUCACUACUCUUUUUGAUACAACACCCCCAAUUCCCAAUAAAGUGUUGACGAAAUCUUUCCG
rnacentral:lncRNA from 1 species